rnacentral:lncRNA from 1 species
CACUGAGAUGGGGCAGCCCAAACCCCACAGAACCCCUGAAUUGUUACACAGGGGUGACACACACUGGGAUUUGGGACAGCCCAGACCCCACAGAAUCCCUGGGAUUGUUACACAGAGGUGACAAACACUGAGAUGGGACAGCCCAAACCCCACAGAAUCCCUGAAUUGUUACACAGGGGUGACAAACACUGGAUUUGGGACAUCCCAAACCCCACAGAAUCCCUGGAUUGUCACACAGGGGUGACAAACACUGAGAUGGGACAGCCCAAACCCCACAGAAUCCUUGGAUUGUUACACAAGGGUGACCCACACUGGAUUUGGGACAUCCCAAACCCCACAGAAUCCCUGGAAUCACUGAAUUGUUACACAAGGGUGACCCACACUGGGAUUUGGGACAUCCCAGACCCCACAGAAUCCCUGGAAUCACUGAAUUGUUACACAAGGGUGACANCAGAGCCGUGCCAGGAGCGAGCCGUGCCAAUCGGGCACAGAGCAAACCCAACCGCAGCCCCGAAGGUUCGGAUCCCAAUUUCCCCAUUCCCGACAUCCCGAGGCAGCGCGGGGCGGUGCUGACCCCUAGCGAGGGAUGCCUGGGAAAAGGGAAAUUCCUGGGAUAAAUCUCCCGUCCCACCGCGCUCCAUUCCCUGCCCCUCCUGCCCAAGGCUCCUCGGGCACGGGCACAGAGCAGCUUCUGAGAAACUGGCACAAGAAAUCCCCGAUUUUGAGAUAUUUUCAAUAAAUGUGUCCCCAUGAGGAUCA